rnacentral:rRNA from 1 species
GAUGAACGCUAGCGGCAGGCUUAAUACAUGCAAGUCGAGGGGCAGCACGGUUAGCAAUAACUGGUGGCGACCGGCGCACGGGUGCGUAACACGUAUACAAUCUACCUUAAACAGGGGGAUAGCCUUUCGAAAGAGAGAUUAAUACCCCGUAAUAAAUUGAACGGCAUCGUUUGAUUUUGAAAGCUCCGGCGGUUUGAGAUGAGUAUGCGUCUGAUUAGCUAGUUGGUGAGGUAACGGCUCACCAAGGCGACGAUCAGUAGGGGAUCUGAGAGGACUAACCCCCACACUGGUACUGAGACACGGACCAGACUCCUACGGGAGGCAGCAGUAAGGAAUAUUGGUCAAUGGAGGCAACUCUGAACCAGCCAUGCCGCGUGCAGGAUGACGGCCCUAUGGGUUGUAAACUGCUUUUAUACAAGAGAAAACCCUGGUACGUGUACCAGGUUGAUAGUAUUGUAAGAAUAAGCAAUCGGCUAACUUCGUGCCAGCAGCCGCGGUAAU